GACGAACCGUACGAACGUUAUUCGGAAUUACUGGGCGUAAAGGGCUCGUAGGCGGCCAACUAAGUCAGACGUGAAAUCCCUCGGCUUAACCGGGGAACUGCGUCUGAUACUGGAUGGCUUGAGUUUGGGAGAGGGAUGCGGAAUUCCAGGUGUAGCGGUGAAAUGCGUAGAUAUCUGGAGGAACACCGGUGGCGAAGGCGGCAUCCUGGACCAACACUGACGCUGAGUGAGCGAAAGCCAGGGGAGCAAACGGG
rnacentral:rRNA from 1 species